GGCCUCGUAGCUUAGCUGGUAGAGCACUCGCAGUACUGAAGCGAGGGUGGCAACCACCCGUGUGUUUGAAUCCCGCCGGGGCCA
rnacentral:tRNA from 1 species